rnacentral:rRNA from 1 species
UACGGAGGGUGCGAGCGUUGUCCGGAAUCACUGGGCGUAAAGAGCGUGUAGGCGGCCAAACAGGUCCGUUGUGAAAACUGGAGGCUCAACUUCCAGACGUCGACGGAAACCGUGUGGCUAGAGUCCGGAAGAGGAGAGUGGAAUUCCUGGUGUAGCGGUGAAAUGCGCAGAUAUCAGGAAGAACACCAAUGGCGAAGGCAGCUCUCUGGGACGGUACUGACGCUGAGACGCGAAAGCGUGGGGAGCGAACAGG